UACAGAGGUCUCAAGCGUUGUUCGGAUUCAUUGGGCGUAAAGGGUGUGUAGGUGGCGCGCUAAGUCGGGUGUGAAAUUUCGGAGCUUAACUCCGAAACUGCAUUCGAUACUGGCGUGCUUGAGGACUGGAGAGGAGACUGGAAUUCAUGGUGUAGCAGUGAAAUGCGUAGAGAUCAUGAGGAAGACCAGUGGCGAAGGCGGAUCUCUGGACAGUUCCUGACGCUGAGGUGCGAAGGCCAGGGGAGCAAACGGG
rnacentral:rRNA from 1 species